GCUAUGAUGACUUUACAAUCUUUUGUCGGAUACCCCUUCACUCUACUUAUGAGUGAGACAUUCAAUCUGAUAAGC